AUGGGGCGGGCGGAAAAAGCUGCCAGACGCCAUGACGAGACUGGCCGCUGGCCGUUACCACGCGGCGGCUGGGUGACAAUGAAGCCGCGACUUGGACACUUGCCCUCCCACUGCUCGACGGGGCUAGGAAAGAACUAGAGAUAAAGGUGUGCAGUAUGAGGAAGCAUCCUGAUUUCUCUUGCACUGGCCAGUGUAACACGGUGGUGAGGCUGAGGGGAAGCAAAGGUCAUCUGUCUCUGGCACUGUCAUGGGCUGCAGUGGUCAUCACACUGACCCUCAUUUACUACUGCAGUUUUCCUCAGGUUCGCUCUUGGUACCCAGACUGGAGUGCAAUGGCGCGAUCUCGGCUCACCCCAACCUCCACCUCCUGGGUUCAGGCAAUUCUCCUGCCUCAGCCUCCUGAGUAGCUGGAAUUACAGGCACGCGCCACCAUGCCCAGCUGAAAGUUCUUAUAAAACAGUCUUCUGGGCUGGACGCGGUGGCUCAAGCCUGUAAUCCCAGCACCUUGGGAGGCCGACACAGGUGGAUCACGAGGUCAAGAGAUCGAGACCAUCCUGGUCAACAUGGUGAAACCGCGUCUCUACUAAAAAUACAAAAAAUUAGCUGGGUAACAGCAGCGAAACUCCAUCUCAAACAAACAAACAAACAAACAAAAAAACCAGUCUUCUAUGUAUUAUGAUUCAUGCACUUUACUAAUGAGAGGACCACUUGGUAUUUAUUGGCCUUUAUUUUACAAAUGAUUCUAACCAUGGGUUUGUCAAGGAAGGGAAAUACUGUUGGCUGCAGAUUCAGUGACAAGAGCCAUAAUAAUGAACAACCCAGGGAGGAAACACUAAAACUAUGUUAUAGCAUUUGAGCAGUAAUUAAGGUGCUUAAUGAUGAGAAUGAGCAAUAAAAAAGGUUAUGUUCAUUGCACACUGUUUAAGAAAUGAGACAGGAGCUCAAUAAAUUUUAGAAAUAAUUUUAAUCAAAGCACAAUGUAAAAGUAAAGAAAGUAAAAUAAUUUUCUUAACUGUAUAAAUGUAAGUUUCCUCAACAUUCUGAUGAUAUGACAGUGCCAGACAAAUGAGGUUUUGCUAUUUGAACACAAUCAUCACCACUAUGUGAAAUUCAGCUAAAUAUCUCAAAACAAAGAGAACCAGGGGUUGCUGUGACAGAUGCUAGAUCAGAGCUGAGCACACGUCCUCAGAGUCAGCUUUGAUACAUGCCUCUGUCUUGCGCUAGUAUAGACAGGCUGUUUUUAAGGUCCCACUGUGGAAAGACAGGUGAAGUCAUUUCCAUUGGAAGAUGAGAGCUUUGCCUUCCUGGCUUUUUAUUUUUUCUUAGUAUGAGAUCAGCCUUAUACAGGAAGAGUGAAGGAAGAGGAAGGGAAGAGGAAAAGGAGAACCCUCGAGUUCAAAUCUUUCCUAGAGACCAUUUUUAUCUCAUCUGUAGAAAUAGAAGUGGGAAAAAGAGUAUCCAAUACCAUUUUCUAGAAUGAAUAAAUGGAUAAGUAAAUAAAUUUAGACAAAUACUAGUAUGAGCCAUCUUCCCCAGUUUUGAAGAUUUGUAAAUUCUCAGUGAGCAUCAGUGACAACCUUCCCAAUAAUAUCCAUUUCUGGCAGAAUAAUGAUCAAACCCAAUAUGAAAGAAUUCAUGGAAACAGCUGCCCCUUUUUAAGAUUGCAGCACUGUAGAGAAUGUUGAUGUCAUCAUCUUGCUAAAGAACACACCUUCUCAUUUCCUUUCUUUGAAGAUUCCAUGAAUAUCACUGAUAACCAGAUAGUCCUAUACAAUUAUGUAUUCCCACUUCAUGUGGAAAAAGUGACUUUGGUUGUCAUCAGUUAACGCAGCCAGCAGGAGCUGCAAUGCCAACAAGGAAACCCCAAACUCUCUGGGCCAUCUAAGUGUUAACAGGUAUCACAGUUAAAAGAAAUGAGUUCCCAUGGUUUCCUUAAUGCUAGUGCUAGCCACCCUGAACCAAAGGAGUAUUAAAAUUGAGUCAGUUUAAAUGAAAGAAUGGGUUAAUUCAACCAAAAUUACUGUUCAUGAACUUUGUUUAAAAUAAUUUUAUUAUCCAGCUAAAUUUUAUUUAGCUUAAAGGCAAUAACAGGGACAGAUUUUCCUUUUUUAAAAUCAUUCUUGGAUAAUUUAGAAAAGGCUGAAAGGCCUAAAAAAUUGUUAUCAAGUGUGGGAAGCAUAUUUAUAACAAUAUUUACAAAACUGAAAGACUCCCCCAUCCUCGUACACACUUUUUGGACUCUCCACACAGCAUAAAACCAGGAUCAUCCAGAACCAGCCGCCAGCAUCGGCAUCACUCUAGGGCCCUGGGUUCCACUUAGAACUUGUACUAAAAUUCUUUUGGGGAUGAGAUUUCUCCUUGAUUAUUUUUCUUUUUAUCUGUUUUGUGGAACCAACAGUAAUUGAGGAGCCAGAGAAGGAAAGCUGGCCAUGUGGGAUGAGGGUAUCAACAAUGUAACUCCCACCCACAAAGAGCUCUUAACUGAUGGUUAAUUACAUGUUUGCUGACUGCCUGAGAAAAUAAAUCUUCCUGCAAGCUUGGGCCACAAGUGUUUCCUAGGAGAAAUUCCUGAAGGUAGAAGGAAUAACUUGAACAAUCGAAUAAGGAAAAGACCUAAAGCAACUAGAUGUUUUCUAGGCUUUUUUUUUUUCCUUUGGUCAAUUUUUAGGAGACUUUUAUAUGACUCUGUCUCUAGGUUUAGUUAAAAAAAGGAAACUAACCUCAACACUUAGCACAGGAUAGAAAUAAGGCUUUCUGCAGCCUGUUCUCCAAAUGAACACUUGGUCAAUUGCAGUAAAUAUCUAAGUGAAUGUCCACUCCAUACCUAAAUAUGCACUAAAACCUGUGUAGACUGUAAAAAGGACCAUAAGAUCUGGUCCUUGCCCCCAAACAACUUACAGAACAGGUGAAAACACAAGACUCCAUGUGCAUGGAAGUACACACCCAGCAAGUAUGCAAAGUACAAAAAAGCAGUGGUAAGAGCAGUCAGGGCAGGAGUGGCUGAUCAGGGUAAGUUAAGCUGAGAAGGAGAGGGGAUGGAGGCUUGCCCUAAAGAUAAGACUUGUCUAUGCAAAAGGGAAUGGUUCUCUUUCUGAUCACAUAAUAGGAUGCAGCUUCCCUGCCCCCUUUAAAGUUGACAUGCCAAUGUGACUUGCUUUGGCCAAAUAAAUGUAAGCAGAAGUGACGUAUUUCCCUCCCAUGUAGAAUCUUUUAGAUAUAGUACCAACCAUGUAUUUCUUCUGCCAACAUUGAGACAAUUGAGAAAGGAUGUGUAGAGAUGGAACGUUCUUCAGCCUGGGUACCAAAAUGUUUACAAUGAGCACAGUCUGAUCAGGUAGCUUGAGCUUUUGUUGUGAGUCACUGAUAUACAUUAUAGGUACUGUUUGUUACCAUAGCAUAACCUAGUUUAUCCUGACUGAUAUACUAACACAACCAAUGGUUUCUGUUUCUUCAUGUUCCCAUCCACACUUUGUCCAUAUAAUCACAUAGUUUUUACAUGGACAUAAUAAUAGUAUAGAAUAUAUUUUGCUUUGUUGUAU
ensembl:lncRNA